AAGUCGUAACAAGGUUUCCGUAGGUGAACCUGCGGAAGGAUCAUUACCUUUCUGGCAUUAUUUCAAUAGCUUGUCUUGGGGGACUGCAGUUUCUGCAGUCUCUGACUACAUCCGUGUUUUUGCGUACUACAUGUUUCCCUCGGCCGGGCUUUGCUUGCCGGUUUUGGAUCAAACUAAAACUCUUUGCAAUUGCAAUCAGCGUCUGAAUUAUAUAAUAAUUACAA
rnacentral:misc_RNA from 1 species